GACGAACGCUGGCGGCGUGCUUAACACAUGCAAGUCGAACGGAAAAGCCCUGCUUUUGUGAGGUGUUCGAGUGGCGAAAGUGUGAGUAACACGACAGUACCCUGCCCUUGACUCUGGGAUAACUUCAGGAAACUGGUACUAAUACCGGAUAGGAGCUCCUGCUGCAUGGUGGGGGUUGGAAAGUUUCGGCGGUUGGGGAUGGACUCGCGGCUUAUCAGCUUGUUGGUGGGGUAGUGGCUUACCAAGGCUUUGACGGGUAGCCGGCCUGAGAGGGUGACCGGCCACAUUGGGACUGAGAUACGGCCCAGACUCCUACGGGAGGCAGCAGUGGGGAAUAUUGCACAAUGGGCGGAAGCCUGAUGCAGCAACGCCGCGUGCGGGAUGACGGCCUUCGGGUUGUAAACCGCUUUCGCCUGUGACGAAGCGUGAGUGACGGUAAUGGGUAAAGAAGCACCGGCUAACUACGUG
rnacentral:rRNA from 1 species